UUGAGCACGUAUCCGGGUGCCGUGGCCUAGGCAGAUGGGCGCAUAAAAUAAGCAGCACGGACAACCUGAAACUUUGAUACCGACAGGACAUCUCGUCAACCACGUGGGAAUGUCCCCAGCCCCCUCCCGGUUCCGCAGAGGUUCCUGACCUGGCUAACCCCAAGAAUGGGAAAAAGGACCCCAGAGGCACAGUGAGUUUGCUGUUCGAAUAAAUACCAUGGACCCAAAGAGUGGUGUGGAAAAGCGAUUUAUGAAGCAGAGAGACAGAGAAAGACAGACAGACAGCGCCCACACUGCCCUUGAGGGGACCCAGAGCAGGAAUCCCUGCAGUCUUAUUUUCAAACCUGCAAUUCAGACCACCUAGCUCUGUCAUUGGCUGGAAUUCCCAGGAACCAGUGCCCCUAUGAGAGAGCAAUGCCAUCGUUCCUUCAGUUACCUGGACUCAGACACUGGCUCUGCCUGUGAUUUCUUUCACGCUCUGUCUUCCAUGUCCGCAUUUCCAAAUCCUGUAUGAGUCAACUGGAACACAAAGGACUUGAUGGACUUGUCCAAUAAACACAGACAGUUAAGUAUUGAGGCCAC